rnacentral:rRNA from 1 species
AGCGAACGCUGGCGGUAGGCCUAACACAUGCAAGUCGAACGGCAGCACAGUAAGAGCUUGCUCUUACGGGUGGCGAGUGGCGGACGGGUGAGGAAUACAUCGGAAUCUACUUUUUCGUGGGGGAUAACGUAGGGAAACUUACGCUAAUACCGCAUACGAUCUACGGGUGAAAGCAGGGGAUCUUCGGACCUUGCGCGAUUGAAUGAGCCGAUGUCGGAUUAGCUAGUUGGCGGGGUAAAGGCCCACCAAGGCGGCGAUCCGUAGCUGGUCUGAGAGGAUGAUCAGCCACACUGGAACUGAGACACGGUCCAGACUCCUACGGGAGGCAGCAGUGGGGAAUAUUGGACAAUGGGCGCAAGCCUGAUCCAGCCAUACCGCGUGGGUGAAGAAGGCCUUCGGGUUGUAAAGCCCUUUUGUUGGGAAAGAAAAGCAGCAGGUUAAUACCCCGCUGUUCUGACGGUACCCAAAGAAUAAGCACCGGCUAACUUCGUG